AACCCCGCGCUCCACUUACGUGACUCGCGCGCGACACGCGAGCAGGAGGUUGAGACGAAGACCCGCCGCCACCGGGGAUGGCCCAAGCGCCGCCGCGACCUAGGGAGCGAGGAUGAGGAGCUCGAGGAGGUGCGCCGCAUGCAGAGGAUUCCUGCAAGGAGGAGAACAUGGAGGUGGUGCCCGUAGUAGUAGGGGAACCGAUCAAGAGCACUGGCGAGGGGAAGAAAUAGAAGAAGCACUAUGCUUCCUUGGAGUACCACGUCAACAGCUUGGAGCUGCUUGCAUUGACCACAGAGGCACACCGGAGCAUCCGGCGAGGACCUGCACGCUUGAAACCGACGACGAGGCCAUGCCAUCUUUGCAUGCCCCGCCUUUUUACACGGUGACACAGUGUUACAUGGGCAAGUGGGGAAUUGCAUAUUGUGUCAAGGGUGGUCCAGAAAAAGAGCUAAAAGCAAUGCAGUACUUGGAGAGAAGAGAGUGUGAGUAUGACCAGAAGAUAUCCAUUGAUUUCUACAAGGAAGGAGAUCCCUUGAAACCAGCUGUGAUGGGCGUCUUAGUGUUCGUUUCCACUCCAGAUCCAAUUGGCAACAAGUACUAUCUUGGCCCUGCUCCUUUGCAGAAUAUGGCAAGGCCACGAAGAUGAUUCGAUCAUAGAGCUUGCAAACAAGGUGAGGAAGGUGCUCAACAGAACAAAGGAGACCAAAAUCACUGCGAUGCAGGGCGCGUGAACUCUUCUACUACCUCAAGGGUAAGCAGGUGGACUAUGGCGAGGAGCACAGCAAGGCUUGCGGCCACAACAGGUUUGGGAGAAUAUAUCACACAGGUCACUAUCCUGUUUGUUAUGAGCACAACCCAGUGCAUUUUGUGGGGCACUCUGCUGGCGCGCAGGUUGUGAGGGUGCUGCAUCAGAUGCUUGCCGACAAGAGGGAUGGUUCAUGUGAGCUGGAGUACAGGAUUAGAGCACCCAAAUUAGGAAUUAGUCAUGCCUAUCAUCCCGCUUGAGACGAAGGAUGAGCUUGGGCUGCUUCAUCCAGCAUUCAAGGCUGUGAAGACUUCCACAUGAUAAUUAGAAAUCUGGUGACAACAGAAGUUUGGGUUGGGGUCAUGGGAUGGAUAUCUUUGUUGUAAUGUGAGGAGACCGUGGAGGUGGUUCUGGAGGGAGCAUCUUUAUAAGGGCUGCAUCGAUAAGCUAGAUGUGAUGAUGAGAAAUCACUUCGUAUGUCUCAAAUGAGCUUGGCGAAGAGAUUUGGCUAAUCCAGAUCUUUUGUUGCCUCCACUCUGAUGGAAUAUGGUUUUGGAUCCUGAAGGAGAAAGCGGGUCCUAAGGGAGGAAGCAGAGCAAUUGGAGCUCGAACUGGAGAUGCAUAGAGAGUUAAGGGAGUAGAUGCUGCAACUCUUGUGGCCUACGCUCGAGCUGAAGCCAGAUUAGUGAUGAGGGGGGCAGUUGUCCUUGCUGCUAAGCAUGCAAAAACAAUGGUCGGGAAGCCAUUGUUGUAUGGAAUAGGUACCCUGUUGGUCAUGUCGCUGAGGACACUGUAUGGAGUGGGUUGUGUUUUUGGCGCACGGUGGUUCCUCUACAUGACAAGCGUAUCUCCAUCGCUGCAAAUUGAGUUUGUAUAUCGCAAGUUCUUCGGCGGGUACUGCAACUGCUCAUACCAUGUCUGGUAACGGUGCAAAGGCAAAUGGGGCAUCAUCACAUAUCUAGGUCGUAUUUUCGACAGACAGAUAUAAAACGGAGUGGGAAUGCCUCGAUUGAUAUCAUGUCCAAGUUCUUCAAGCUGAUGGUGGAAGAGGCCUUUGCCCAAGUGUAUUGUCUAUGGCAAGCCCAAGCACCAGGGUAUCACCCAACUCAAGUUCCAGAGGUACAAGAGGUGUGUCGCUGAGAGAGCUAUACGCAAGCUUGGUGGACUGAGGGUUCUUAUGUUAUGAAAUAAAGUAUGUCAUGAACUUUUUGCAAUUUGACUGUAUUAUCGGACUACGAAUGGAGAGUGAUAAAAUGUUGCAUGCUGUUGUGGACUACAUGAUUGGUUAGUGAUCAAAAAAGGGAGUUUGCAUAU